rnacentral:rRNA from 1 species
AGCGAACGCUGGCGGCAGGCUUAACACAUGCAAGUCGAACGGAAGGGCAGUGCGUUUUUGGGGUUCUCGAUGGCGAGACGGGUAAGGAUGAGGUAAAUAACCGACCCUUGAUUUUCGUGUGGCUUCAGGAAGGGGAGGCUAAUAACGUAUAGGAUCUCCUGCUGGGUGGUAAGGGGUGGAAAUUUUCGCCUUUUGGGGAUGGACGGGCGGCUUAUUAGCUUGUUGGUGGGGUAGAGGCCCACCAAGGCGACGAGCCGUAGCUGGCCUGAGAGGGUGACCGGCCACACUGGAACGGAGACACGGUCCGUACUCCUACGGGAGGCAGCAGUGGGGAAUAUUGGACAAUGGGCGCAAGCCUGAUCCAGCCAUACCGCGUGGGUGAAGAAGGCCUGCGGGUUGUAAAGCCCUUUUGUUGGGAAAGAAAAGCAGCAGGUUAAUACCCCGCUGUUCUGACGGUACCCAAAGAAUAAGCACCGGCUAACUUCGUG